rnacentral:rRNA from 1 species
UACGGGAGGCAGCAGUGGGGAAUCUUGCACAAUGGGCGAAAGCCUGAUGCAGCGAUGCCGCGUGCGGGAAGAAGGCCUUAGGGUUGUAAACCGCUUUCAGGAGGGAAGAAAGUGACGGUACCUCCAGAAGAAGGUGCGGCCAACUACGUGCCAGCAGCCGCGGUAAU